UUUGUUAAAUUAAAAUGACCUUCUCAUGCAUAUUUUUUCCAUAUAGGGCCCAUCUGGACUAAAAGGAAUCCUGGACUCAUUGAACAAGCAUUAUAAUGAGAGUGACACAAGACUACUGGGAAUACUUGGGACCCCUGGACUUAAAGGCCAGAAAGGAGACAUUGGUCAAAAAGGAGAAUUGGGAAUGACUGGUGUAAAAGGAGAAAAGGUGAGUUAAUUCCUUACUUCUGUGCUAAAAGUUGAUGCAAUGUACUGAUUUUGAAUG
rnacentral:lncRNA from 1 species